rnacentral:misc_RNA from 1 species
UUAUGUGUCAUUUGACUAUCCGUUCAGACGGCUCGAAGGCUAUUGUUUAAAAAAGUGGUUUUGCUCGGGGCUACCGGCAGGCUGACCCCUCCGCGGCGAGGCGCGGCAGGAGCUGCCGAAGCAACAGGGCGUUUCACAGUGGGUUUCACGCUGACCGCUCGCGCGGCAGGUGCCGGCACCGGGGGUUUUCACGCCACCGGGACGGGUGUUUCUUUUUAAUGAUCCUUCCGCAGGUUCACCUACGGAAA